AGAUUGAACGCUGGCGGCAUGCCUUACACAUGCAAGUCGAACGGCAGCACGGGAGCAAUCCUGGUGGCGAGUGGCGAACGGGUGAGUAAUACAUCGGAACGUGCCCAAUCGUGGGGGAUAACGCAGCGAAAGCUGUGCUAAUACCGCAUAAGAUCUACGGAUGAAAGCAGGGGAUCGCAAGACCUUGCGCGAAUGGAGCGGCCGAUGGCAGAUUAGGUAGUUGGUGAGGUAAAGGCUCACCAAGCCUUCGAUCUGUAGCUGGUCUGAGAGGACGACCAGCCACACUGGGACUGAGACACGGCCCAGACUCCGUACGGGAGGCAGCAGUGGGGAAUUUUGGACAAUGGGCGAAAGCCUGAUCCGAGCCAUGCCGCGUGCAGGAUGAAGCCUUGGUGUAAACUGCUUUGUACGGAACGAAAGUCUACUUCUAAUAAAGAGGAUACGAGUAGACGGUAACGUAAGAAAUAAGACACCGGACUAACUACGUACG
rnacentral:rRNA from 1 species